UAGUCCACGCUGUAAACGAUGCUAACUCGAUGUAUGCGAUAGACAGUAUGCGUCCAAGCGAAAGUAUUAAGUGAACCACCUGGGGAGUACGUCGGCAACGGUGAAACUCAAAGGAAUUGACGGGGGCCCGCACAAGCGGAGGAACAUGUGGUUUAAUUCGAUGAUACGCGAGGAACCUUACCUGGGCUUAAAUGUAGAUUGCAUGUUGUGGAAACACACUUCUCUUCGGAGCUAUCUACAAGGUGCUGCAUGGUUGUCGUCAGCUCGUGCCGUGAGGUGUUAGGUUAAGUCCUGCAACGAGCGCAACCCCUAUUCUUAGUUGCCAGCGGUUCGGCCGGGGACUCUAAGAAGACUGCCAGCGCAAGCUGAGAGGAAGGUGGGGAUGACGUCAAAUCAUCACGGCCCUUACGUCCUGGGCUACACACGUGCUACAAUGGUAGAGACAGAGGGCAGCCACCUGGUGACAGGGAGCGAAUCCUAAAACUCUAUCUCAGUUCGGA
rnacentral:rRNA from 1 species